rnacentral:rRNA from 1 species
GACGAGCGCUGGCGGCGUGCUUAACACAUGCAAGUCGAACGGAAAGGCCCUGCUUUUGUGGGGUGCUCGAGUGGCGAACGGGUGAGUAACACGUGAGUAACCUGCCCUUGACUUUGGGAUAACUUCAGGAAACUGGGGCUAAUACCGGAUAGGAGCUCCUGCUGCAUGGUGGGGGUUGGAAAGUUUCGGCGGUUGGGGAUGGACUCGCGGCUCAUCAGCUUGUUGGUGGGGUAGUGGCUUACCAAGGCUUUGACGGGUAGCCGGCCUGAGAGGGUGACCGGCCACAUUGGGACUGAGAUACGGCCCAGACUCCUACGGGAGGCAGCAGUGGGGAAUAUUGCACAAUGGGCGGAAGCCUGAUGCAGCAACGCCGCGUGCGGGAUGACGGCCUUCGGGUUGUAAACCGCUUUCGCCUGUGACGAAGCGUGAGUGACGGUAAUGGGUAAAGAAGCACCGGCUAACUACGUG